rnacentral:rRNA from 1 species
UACGAAGGGGACUAGCGUUGUUCGGAAUCACUGGGCGUAAAGCGCACGUAGGCGGAUGUGUCAGUCAGGGGUGAAAUCCCGGGGCUCAACCUCGGAACUGCCUUUGAUACAGCACGUCUCGAGUCCGGAAGAGGUGGGUGGAAUUCCUAGUGUAGAGGUGAAAUUCGUAGAUAUUAGGAAGAACACCGGUGGCGAAGGCGGCAUCCUGGACCAACACUGACACUGAGGAGCGAAAGCCAGGGGAGCAAACGGG